CCUUAAACCGGAGAAGAACUGCCCAAAACUAAUUAGUAUCUUCUCUCUGCCCAACUCUCUCCAUCUCCUUCUAUUUUUCUCCAUCUCCUUUCCCAAUUCCCCCUAAAUAACUUCCUACCAAACCUCCGUUGUCAUCUCACUCCUCAGUCGAGUUCUCCUCGAUCGAGUUCUUAAAAUCCUCGACAUUCUCGCUCGAAAGGACGAUCCCUUUGAUCCUCACAAACUGAAGUAGUAAGGGCUCCAUCUUCGAUCCCUUCCUCGACUUCCCAGUCUUCCCCCCUUCACUCAACGGCAACGGCAGCGGCAUCAGCACCGCCUUCAUUCCUUCCACCAACGAGGUCUCGGCGUUCGCUAGGGCCCACGUCGACUGGAAGGAGACUGCAAAUCAUAGCCUUCUCUUCUUCUUUCGAACCGCAAAAAGAAAAAGGAGGAAAACGAAGGUGAAAAUAUCCAGAUCUCUGCCCUCUCUCUCUGUAAAGAUCCCACCUUUUUCUCCCAUCUCCGAUCGUCGCCGCCUCCGUCUCCGACCGUCGCGACUCUGGAAUCAGCGCUGAUUUAAAGUCUCUGUUUCGUUGCAUAUGGAGUUAAAUCCUGGAGAUCUGUAAGAUAACUCGGAAACUGUAGUAAAAGAAAUGGCACCUACAAGCAAGGCAGUCAAGAAGGCAACGGCGGAUACAGCUGCAAGGUUGUUCAAUGUAGUGACGUCUGUUGGAAUCAUCAUGGUCAAUAAAGCCUUAAUGGCUUCAUAUGGCUUCAGUUUCAGUAAACUUCAAGUUCUUAGUGGCUACAUAUGGUCAAAAAAGCCUUAAUUUUACAGAGACGGAUUUGAUGAGUUCUCAUUGGGACAGUGACGAUGAGUAUGAAAUAUUCUUUCAGAGAAUGAACCCACCAAGAUUUGCAUCUUUUGGUUUUUUUGGUAUAUUCUUUUAUUCAUUUACUUUCAAUCUUCUAAUUUAUUGUAUUUGUUCCAUGUUAGGGUUGUAAUUGAUAAUGAAUCAUGUGCUAAUGCAACAGUUGUUAGAGUAAGUUUUUUUUACAUAGGUUGAUAGUGCAAAUAAAUAUGGAAUUCUUUGAGGUUUUACAGGUUCUCACUGAUCUCAACCUUAUCAUUACAAAAGCUUAUAUAAUCUCUGAUGGAGGAUGGUUCAUGGAUGAUAAUAUUCUUUUAGAGGUUGUACAGAAGAUUGAAAGCACUAGAAAUUUGGAUGGUGUUAAGUCAAAUACUCUCUUGGUGACAAGCAAUGAGAAUGUAAAGAUACGAGAUCCAAUGUUAGUCAAGUUUUCAAGGUAAUCUUUACCUUACGUUCUGUGAAUAGCAUUGGAUAUUCAUGAAUACGACACAGAAAAUGACACUGUUGCAAAUUGAGUUGGCAAGAUGAAGAAAGUGCUAAACAAGAACCAAACUUCGUGGAAGGUACAAAGCAGUAUUUUUGAAGAUUAACUCCUCAACCACCAUCCUGGAUCUCAAAUUUGAUGUGGCAGAAAGGUUAGAUAUUCCAUAUGAGUCAUUAAUUCUGUCAUACGAAGAUGAAACAGCUGGAAGCUUGAAAUUUCCUAUUGAGAACGAGGGGGACAUGAUGUCUAUGGUGGAGCAUUGCCACAAUCUUGGACUGAAAGAGGUUCACAUGAAAGCUUUUAAAGAAGCUGAUGAUUUGCAGAAUAUACACUGCAAUGAGCGAGUCCAACCUUGCAAAGAGCAAGUCCCACAAGACAUGUAGGUUAACUGCAAAGUAAACAAACGCUAGUGCUAAUCGUCUUCUUUUUGUCUAUGUUGAAUGUUAAACUGGAUUUCAGAUGCAUUUCAACAAUAUGUUAGUUGUAAUCGUUGACCUGUUAG